rnacentral:rRNA from 1 species
GAUGAACGCUGGCGGCGUGCCUAAUACAUGCAAGUCGAGCGAACAGACGAGGAGCUUGCUCCUCUGACGUUAGCGGCGGACGGGUGAUUAACACGUGGAUAACCUACCUAUAAGACUGGGAUAACUUCGGGAAACCGGAGCGAAUACCGGAUAAUAUAUUGAACCGCAUGGUUCAAUAGUGAAAGACGGUUUUGCUGUCACUUAUAGAUGGAUCCGCGCCGCAUUAGCUAGUUGGUAAGGUAACGGCUUACCAAGGCAACGAUGCGUAGCCGACCUGAGAGGGUGAUCGGCCACACUGGAACUGAGACACGGUCCAGACUCCUACGGGAGGCAGCAGUAGGGAAUCUUCCGCAAUGGGCGAAAGCCUGACGGAGCAACGCCGCGUGAGUGAUGACGGUCUUCGGCUCGUAAAACUCUGUUAUUAGGGAAGAACAAAUGUGUAAGUAACUAUGCACGUCUUGACGGUACCUAAUCAGAAAGCCACGGCUAACUACGUG